rnacentral:ncRNA from 2 species
AUUUAAUAUUUAUAUUGCGGUGCAUUUCCUGGACAGCUGGGGAAUGAUAAUAGGGAAACCGGUGCGAGGCCGGUACAGUCACCUCUACUGUAACGUGGACGAAGAAACGAUUAUACCAUUGGCAUUUAUAUGCUGAGAAGGUGUUUCGGAGGAUGAAGCGAAGUCAGAAGACCUGCCGUGAUGAUUGUUACGAU